ACCCGCAGUGCUUAUCGCCAUUUGAGUAGGGGUUGAUCUGGUCGAUGCUGAUUGCUGAGGUUUGCCUGAAUCCAUCACUGCAGCUGCAUGUUCAAGAAGUGGCCGGAGAGUUCUGCAUGUUGAUUCAGGGCUGUACAUAGGCAGCAAACCAAGCUGCAGUGACGUUGCCUAUAUUUAAAUUUUCUCAAAUGGCCAAGCUCUGAUGGUCUACUUUAUUUGAGCAAUAAUUUAGACUUAUAAUUGCCUGUAAAUAAACAAACAAAUGAACUAUUUGGGUUUUUUUUUUUUUUUUUUUCCACAACAUCUGGCCUGUAUUGUCUGUCAGGAAGCCAUGGCUCCAGUGUAAAGUACAUAGUUCUUACAUACUUCAGCUGCAGCUGGUCCCUGACCUCACCAGGUUUCAGAGAUGUUCUUAAAGGAAGCCAGCUGUGGGAGGUCACAGAUUCAUGGGAAAUGGAAAGAACCAAGGAAUAUAGCUCUUGCCUCACCUUUCUACCCACUGCAGAUAUAGUUCAAGCCAGAAUAAUGGAAGAACUUAACUUACUGGCCUCUCAGGCUGCUCAUAUCCCUACCUCCCAGUGUACAGCCCCUCCCCAUCUCUUUAGUCCCCUUUCCCUCGCGUCCCCUUUUAUAAUGUCACAUAAAUCAGGGACAGUAGGAUCACAUUAUAACCUACUUUGUCACAGGGAUUCGAUUUUUCUUACAUCAAAUCAUGUUUCCUGAAACCCAGCUGAGGCAUAUGCACUCAAUGUCUAAUACAUACCUAUUAAUGUACCGGGUAUUGGCCUUGCCCCUGGAUAUCAGCAAUAUAUUAUAAAAGGUUCCAGUAGAUGAGACGAUUGAGUCUGAAUACAAUUGCAGUAAAUCGUGCCAAUAAAGAUAUUGUACUGUUACGGUCUUAGAGUUAAGGCCGCUUGAAUGCAGCAUGCACAUUCAUGUAAACAGACAAUCAGGGUAGGCCUAGAAUAACCACAAAAAUUCUAUUGGCCUUACUGCAGCUGCCUAUAUGUAGAACAAUGGAGGAGAUAGUUUGUGGUCCAUUAUUGUACCCUGUUUCAUCCAUUAGCCAGCAUCAGAAUCUCUCUUUCAGGUCAUUUAUUAAAUAUGAUUGAAAUGUUUAAAAGUUCCUGAACAUGAUUCAUGAUGAUUAAAAUAUCAUACAACUGAUAAAAGACUUUAAGAACUUUAUAUAUUUCUUGUUGCCUCAAAAUGUAACAAAUUAUUCUUAGAGCUUUGUUUUUAGCUAUCCUAAUUACUGCAAAUAAAUAUUUGUUCUUAUAGUUUUAAAUCAAAAAGAAACAUCUUUUGUUAUAAAACCUUAAGCUUGAAGUCAUAUUAAUAAAAUUAAUAUAUUGUACAUAGUGGAAAAUUUUCAGUAGCUAAUUUAAAAUUUCAAAAAAUGCUAUUAAAGAAUUUUGAUUCGUGUAUUUAAACUGUUUAGUUAUGCAUGCUUCUUAUUAACCAAAAAUGAUUAAUACCAUUCAGUUUAGUGACCAGUAUGAGAACCAAUACCUAAUCCUAUGUUGCUAUUGUAUUUUUUCCUAGUUGGUGUGCCUGCUCAGAAAAACAUAUACUGUGUGUGUAUACAUACCUGUGUAUAUAUAAAAGGUCAAUUUAUAUAUUUUUCUAUAGGAAAAUGGAGUAACAAGUUCCCUAUCUCCCAUAAUAUUUAUUUGUCCACAGUAAAAUGGCCACAUUGAUGAUAAUUUCUAGAACUAGUUUCUGAGAUUGUCAGCCCUUUGUCUAAAAUAAUGGCAAUAUUAAUGAUUGACUUCUGUCACUGCCAUAGUUACCUGGAUUGGCAGCCUUGGUAGCCUUUGUCUAAAGUCCUAAAGAGUUCCAAAGAAAAUUUGUUGAAAUUUAAUUGCUAAAUAGUGGUUGGUGAUUCUUUACAGUAGGAAUUGUAAUAAUUUUCUUGCAAAUAAGUUAUUUACUGCUAUUGAUAUUGAAUAAUUUGUCUUUUACUCAGAUGUAUUUCAAAAAGCAUGAAUGUAUGAUUAUUCACAAAUUGUACACUUUAACAGUAAGUUUUCAGAGGAAAUAAAAGACUUUUAAAUCCUUUUC
rnacentral:sRNA from 1 species